rnacentral:tRNA from 1 species
AGGCGCGUAGCUCAGUGGGAGAGCGCUACCUUGACGCGGUAGAAGUCGGCGGUUCGAAACCGCCCGCGCCUACCA